rnacentral:tRNA from 1 species
CGGGAAGUAGCCCCGCCUCGGCGGGGCACCUGGUUUGGGACCAGGGGGUCGCAGGUUCGAUCCCGAAGCCUCGAUCCCGA